rnacentral:tRNA from 1 species
AGCGGGGUGGAGCAGUCAGUAGCUCGCCGGGCUCAUAACCCGGAGGUCGCCGGUGCGAAUCCGGCCCCCGCCA